GUCUAGGGCCAUACCACCCUGAACACACCCGACCUUGUCUGAUCUCACAAGCUAAGCAAGUUCAGGCCUGGUUAGUACUUGGGUGGGAGACAAAAUGUUCCAUGUUCUCAGAUCCAGGGCAUCUUGACC
rnacentral:rRNA from 1 species